rnacentral:rRNA from 1 species
GACGAACGCUGGCGGCGUGCCUAAUACAUGCAAGUAGAACGCUGAAGAGAGGAGCUUGCUCUUCUUGGAUGAGUUGCGAACGGGUGAGUAACGCGUAGGUAACCUGCCUUGUAGCGGGGGAUAACUAUUGGAAACGAUAGCUAAUACCGCAUAACAAUGGAUGACACAUGUCAUUUAUUUGAAAGGGGCAAUUGCUCCACUACAAGAUGGACCUGCGUUGUAUUAGCUAGUAGGUGAGGUAACGGCUCACCUAGGCGACGAUACAUAGCCGACCUGAGAGGGUGAUCGGCCACACUGGGACUGAGACACGGCCCAGACUCCUACGGGGGGCAGCAGUAGGGAAUCUUCGGCAAUGGGGGCAACCCUGACCGAGCAACGCCGCGUGAGUGAAGAAGGUUUUCGGAUCGUAAAGCUCUGUUGUAAGUCAAGAACGAGUGUGAGAGUGGAAAGUUCACACUGUGACGGUAGCUUACCAGAAAGGGAUGGCUAACUACGUG